rnacentral:rRNA from 1 species
UACGGGGGGGGCAAGCGUUGUUCGGAAUUACUGGGCGUAAAGGGUGCGUAGGCGGCUUUCUAAGUCGGAUGUGAAAACUCUGGGCUCAACCCAGAGCCUGCAUCCGAAACUGGAGAGCUAGGGUUCUGGAGGGGAAAGCGGAAUUCCUGGUGUAGCGGUGAAAUGCGUAGAUAUCUGGAGGAACACCGGUGGCGAAGGCGGCAUCCUGGACCGGCAUUGACGCUGAGGCGCGAAAGCUAGGGGAGCAAACGGG